ACUAGAGUAGCACUCGCAUAUCAAUAAGCGGAGGAAAAGAAACUAACAAGGAUUCCCCUAGUAACGGCGAGUGAAGCGGGAAGAGCUCAAAUUUGAAAUCUUAAAGGGUUUCCCUUUACGAAUUGUAGUUUAAAGAAGUGUUUUCUGUUGAGGUUUUGGUAAAAGUUCUUUGGAAUAGGACAUCAUAGAGGGUGAGAAUCCCGUAUUUGACCUUUACUUUCAACUUUGUGAUACACUUUCAAAGAGUCGGAUUGUUUGGGAAUGCAGUCCAAAAUGGGUGGUAAAUUUCAUCUAAAGCUAAAUAUUGGCGAGAGACCGAUAGCGAACAAGUACCGUGAGGGAAAGAUGAAAAGAACUUUGAAAGAGAGUUAAACAGUACGUGAAAUUGUCAAAAGGGAAGCGUUUGACACCAGUGUUGUUUUUCUGAAAAUCAAUUAAAGAACUGUUUAUGCUAAGCUGUUUAGACUUUAUCAGCUAUCUGUUUAGUUUUAGGCUUUUCUUUAAUGCACUUUUCAGUUAACAAGUCAACAUCAAUUUCUUUUGCUGUAAAAAAGCUUGAGGAAGGUGGCUUGAGAUUCGUCUUAAGUGUUUAUAGCCUCUUGCCUAUGCAGUCGGAGAGAUUGAGGUCUGCAGCGUAGAUCCUUCGGGGCUAAAUGCAUUUGUGCUAAGUUAUAGCAUUUUAUAGACAACUUGUUGACUAUGAUUUGUCUUGUAGCUUACUCGCUUAUGUUAUUUUACCUACGCUUAGGAUGUUGAGCGCAUGUCUCUCUCU
rnacentral:rRNA from 1 species